rnacentral:rRNA from 1 species
AAAGAGCUUGCUCUUUUAAUCUAGUGGCGGACGGGUGAGUAACACGUGAGCAACCUGCCUAACAGAGGGGGAUAACGUUUGGAAACGAACGCUAAUACCGCAUAACAUAUAACUAUCGCAUGAUAGAAAUAUCAAAGGAGAAAUCCGCUGAAAGAUGGGCUCGCGUCUGAUUAGCUAGUUGAGUGGUAAUGGCACACCAAGGCAACGAUCAGUAGCCGGACUGAGAGGUUGAACGGCCACAUUGGGACUGAGACACGGCCCAGACUCCUACGGGAGGCAGCAGUGGGGGAUAUUGCACAUGGGGGAAACCCUGAUGCAGCGACGCCGCGUGAGGGAAGAAGGUUUUCGGAUUGUAAACCUCUGUCUUCGGGGACGAUAAUGACGGUACCCGAGGAGGAAGCACCGGCUAACUACGUGCCAGCAGCCGCGGUAAUACGUAGGGUGCAAGCGUUGUCCGGAAUUACUGGGUGUAAAGGGAGCGUAGGCGGGAACGCAAGUUGGAUGUAUAAACUAUCGGCUCAACCGGUAGAGGCAUUCAAAACUGCGAUUCUUGAGUGAAGUAGAGGUAGGCGGAAUUCCUAGUGUAGCGGUGAAAUGCGUAGAUAUUAGGAGGAACACCAGUGGCGAAG